rnacentral:rRNA from 1 species
UACGAAGGGGGCGAGCGUUGUUCGGAUUUACUGGGCGUAAAGGGCGCGUAGGCGGCGGGUCAAGUCGAGUGUGAAAGCCCCGGGCUCAACCUGGGAAUUGCGCUCGAGACUGGUCUGCUUGAGUUCGGGAGAGGAGCGUGGAAUUCCCAGUGUAGAGGUGAAAUUCGUAGAUAUUGGGAAGAACACCGGUGGCGAAGGCGGGUCUCUGGGCCGAUACUGACGCUGAGGAGCGAAAGCGUGGGGAGCGAACAGG